GAAAAAAGAAGAAUUGAAAAGGUUGGUUAUGACUAGAGGAACGACACCACAUGAAAUAAAUUUGUGCAUUUUGGAUGAUUGCUCGUGGAAAAUGGAGAACGAUAGUUAUUUAUAGAAGAGGAGUGUAGAGAGUAGAAUUUAACAGAGCACUUCAGUUUUUAAAAGUUCAUUGUGGGAGCUGAAUGGAAAUUUGCGUGACAGAUUUUUUUUGGUUAUCUGAAGCUUAUGAGUACACAUGUAGUGUGGCC
rnacentral:lncRNA from 1 species